rnacentral:lncRNA from 1 species
AUUCUUUUACUCCCAGACGACAAGAUUCUUCAACUGGAUUCGGAGUACCUGUUCUAACUAACAUAAGAGUUAGUGGUCUAACUGAUGCUGUAGUUACAUCAUCACUAUUGGAAUCUGUGAGGAGAUGCUAAAGCUAUCCUUUUUAUUUGUGGUGGAGCUUUUGUUGGUAGAGAAGACAAUUUCAGAAAGGUUAUCUGUCAAACUCAAUUAAUUUCAUUAAACACAUUUAGGUUAAGUGAUAUAAUAUGGUUCAACUUAUCAUUCUCUUACUCCCAGAUGACAAGAUUCUUCAACUGGAUUCGGAGUACCUGUUCUAACUAACAUAAGAGUUGGUGGCCUAACUGAUGCUGUAGUUACAUCAUCACUAUUGGAAUCUGUGAGGAGAUCCCUGUGACUUGAGUGUAGUUUUCUUUUUCGGAUCACUAUUUUGUAAAUCUAAUGAUUUCAUGACUCUUUAUUCUCGUGAAAUUCUAAAAACCAAAUGCAUCGGAAGCAUUCAUGUCACAUUGCUUUCUGUAUCUAGGUAGAAAGUGACGAUCUCACUGCGGAUGGACUCAUAUUUGUGGUGCGAUUUCCAGUAUUAGUGAGUUUAUCUUCCCUGGAUGAGGAUUAGCUUGUUCAGGUUUGUCUACUCUUUUCACCUUUUGGC